UACGUAGGUGGCUAGCGUUGUCCGGAUUUACUGGGCGUAAAGAGCGCGCAGGCGGUCGUUCAAGUCGAGUGUGAAAGCCCCCGGCUCAACUGGGGAGGGUCACUCGAUACUGAUCGACUUGAAGGCGGGAGAGGGAAGCGGAAUUCCCGGUGUAGUGGUGAAAUGCGUAGAGAUCGGGAAGAACAUCAGUGGCGAAGGCGGCCUGCUGGGCUGUUGCUGACGCUGAGGCGCGACAGCGUGGGGAGCAAACAGG
rnacentral:rRNA from 1 species